GUAAAUGGGAAACUCCCACGCAGUGUUUGAAUUCCACGACCCUCCCAAAGCCUAACACGACCAACCAACAAAUGCGACGCGUCAACGGCAGAGCACGACGUCGUAUCACCCUCGGGAACUGCCCCAAGCGGCCGACCCUGUCCACUUCCUCCCCACCUUAAUCUCUAAACCCAUAAAACAAGAAACCUUCCCUUCCCCUCCACUCACCAAAAACAGAAAGAUCAAAAUAUUUCACGAAGCAUCAACUCGAGUGGUAAAUGAUUUUUGAUGAAAAUGGCAUGCCAAAUGAUACAUUCAUGGACAUUCAGUGGGCUUGUGGGUGCAUUUCUUGAUCUUGCAAUAGCCUAUCUCUUACUCUGUGCCUCAGCUCUUGCAUUUUUUACCUCGAAGUUUUUGGAUGUCUUUGGAUUAAGUCUUCCAUGCCCUUGUGAUGGGCUGUUUGGGAACCCAAAGAAUAAUUACUGCUUCCAGAAGCAGUUAGUGGAUGGCCCAUCUGAGAAAAUCGGUGGAGUUCAGUUGCAGCUGAAGAGCAAGUUCCCUUUCGAUGUAAUGUGGAGUGAAGACCCACAUUUUCAUGCAAAGUCGAAGUCGGAUCAUGAGAAUGGGCACUUUGGGUUUGAAGGUGAAGCAUCGUGUAGCUCUUAUUCGGAUGGGAAGUUGCUAGAUGUGGCUGGGAGGGGUUGCUCUGUUUCGGGGAAUGAAAUGAGUUUUGAGUCUGGUUCGGUGAAUUUGGAAAAAUGCUUUGAUCAUAAGGGAAAGAAGGUCGGUAGUCGAAGGCCAAGUCAUAGUCUGCGCCGCCGGCGCAAAGGGGCCUCUGUGGAUUAUGGAAAGCUGUUUUCAGUUUCCUCAAGUGAUAUGGUACAGUCAGAUUCCCAAGACAUGGCUGGACCUCCUUACAGAAAUAAUAAAAUGGGGGACGAGGUUACUGAAGUUCCCAUCAAUUCAGGAAGGCCAAGUCAUGGUAUUCACCGCCGCCGCAAGGGGCGUUCUGUUGAUUAUGGAAAGAUAUUUUCGGUUUCACCAUAUGAUAUUUCAGAUAGAAGAGACAUUCCUACACCUCCUUCCAGCAUAAGUAAAGUGGGGAAUGACGGUAGUGAAGUUCCUUCCAGUUCAGAUGGCAUGGAAGCUCCAACAGACACUGGUGGGCCAGAAAGAGUUUCGCAUCUUGAGUUGAAUGAACAUGUUGGUAAAACUAAAUCAAUUCAGAAUGAUGCUUCUUCUGUUGAAAAUUUAGGCUGCAAUGAGCAAGAGAAGCCAGUUUAUGACGGUAAUGAUAAAACUAUGGUUCGGGUAUUGGAACAAGCACUAGACGAAGAGCAUACUGCUCGUACUGCUCUCUAUUAUGAAUUGGAGAAGGAGAGAAGUGCUGCUGCUACUGCAGCAGAUGAGGCCAUGUCAAUGAUAUUGCGUCUGCAAGAAGAGAAGGCAUCAAUUGAAAUGGAGGCAAGGCAAUACCAGAGGAUGAUACAGGAAAAAUCAGCUUAUGAUGCUGAGGAAAUGAACAUUCUCAAAGAGAUCUUACUUAGGAGAGAAAGGGAAAAGCAUUUCUUGGAGAAGGAAGUUGAAUACUACAGGCAAAUACUUUUUGGAAACGAUCAAGUUGAUGAUGACAUGCAUGAUGUUGCUGCCACACAAGCACAAAGUAUUUCUCUGCAUUCAAGUGAAGAGCUGGUGUCGAUGCAGGAGUGGACAAGCUAUUCAAUUAGUGAGAAGUCAAAGUUGAAAAUGGCAAAUAGUUCUCCAGAUUACGGGGCCCUAUCAAGUGACUCACAAAAUCGCACUCUGGCCUUGGGGAAAGAACUACCAGUUCCGGAUUUGGAAGAAGAUGACACUUCGAAGCAUGUGGACAUGCACUUGCUUCCAAGCACUGACAGUCAUUCACAUAUCUUAAAUAGUAGGUAUGAGAUCAGUCACGAGUUUCAAGAGAAGGGAAUGGUGUCUGUGGAUGAGAGACCAGUUUCUCAGGGAAAAGAGGUCCAGGUAGUGAAUGCUGAGGGACUUGAAUUGGUUGAAAAAACUAUUCCUCUGAACGAACAGGAACUUGCUUUAGCUGGUAGCAAUGUGGAUCAUGGAAGCAAAGAUCCACCUAGCUUAACGUCUAAUAUAGAGCCUCGUGUUCAUGAUAUUCAUGUUAUUGACGAUAAGUCUGAUUUGUAUAAUGAAAAGAGUGCAGAGAAAAGUGAACAGCUAGUAGCAAAUGCUACCUUAGAUGUUUCUGAAAAACACAAGAGUAUGACAGGGUUGGGAACUGAGCUUAAAGUGCACAAAGUUGGUUCAGACAGUGGAUUGCCAAUAGUGGAUGACUCUCAAGGCAAAGCUUUACCUUACAAUAUGCGGAGGAAUUCCAUGUCUGAGGUUGAUUAUGAAAGAUCAAAAAUAGACAGUAAACUGCACCGAGGUGGUUCAGACAUGGCACCUAAUUGCAUGCGGAGGAAUUCCAUGUCUGCAAUUGAUUAUGACAGAUGGAAAAUUGACAACAAAGUGGACAGAGGUAGCUCACUAAGCUCAGACACGGAACCUAAAGAUGUGCGGAGGAAUUCCAUGACUGCAGUUGAUUAUGAAAGAUGGAAAAUGGCCAAUAAAUCAUACAGAGGUAGUUCAGACACGUCGCCAUCACCUUCUGUCAUGCGAAGAAAUUCCAUGUCUGCAGUUGAUUAUGAAAGAUGCAAACUUGACAAUGAAGUUGAGUGGCUUAGAGAAAGGUUAAGGAUUGUGCAAGAGGGAAGAGAGAAGCUCAACCUCUCGGUGGGCCACAGAGAAAGGGAAAAAGUUCAGCUGAAACUUUUGGAAGAUAUAGCAGGCCAACUCCAAGAGAUUCGGCAAUUGACGGAACCUGGAAAGGUCAAGUGCCAGGCUGCAUUGCCGCCUCCAUCAUCUAAGGUUAUGUCAAAGAAAAGACGAUGGCGAACUUUGUCUCUAGGAGUGCAUAGAAGUACCUAAUAGGGUAGGAGUGUUUCUCAUACAGGUGACAGCUGGAAAGCUGUUAUGCUCAUUUUCAGACACUACAUGGAAGCUGUUUUCACCUGAGCUACAUUUCUAAAUGUUUGUUCUGGUCGAUUAUGGGUCUCAUCCUUUUCAGUUACCUAGUUUUCCCUUCAUGCAUAAAUAAGCGAUGCAGGAUCCAUUUCAUGGAAAGCCUAUAACGAACCCUUUAGAAGCAUAGCAUGUGGGAUGGAAAUUCUGUCAUCAAACUGGACGAAAGCUGCCUGUUAAAUCAGAUGCAGGAGAUGGCUGGAUUAUCAUUAGUAGUGAAUAAGAGGGAUGGCUGGUGUCGGCGUGGAUUAUGCAGAUCGGGCGGCGGCGGCGAGGUUCUAAUGGACCGAGCGGGUAUGGUUCUGAGGGGCUGUGCGGCGGCGAGGUCUAUGGAUGAUCAGGCAGUGGCUUGUUGGUAGGAGAGUUGCGCGGCGGCGAUGUCUGUUGGGUUCUGGCCAGUGAGGUUUUUUUUGGGGGGGGGGGCGUAGGUUGACAGGCUUGGUCAGCGCGGCUGGAUGCAGUGGAGGUGGGUGCUACAUGGAUCGUGUACGGUGGAGUUGGAGUGUGGGCUUGCUUCGGCUAUCUUGCUGGGCCUUGAGUUUGGGCUUAUUUUCUUUAAGCUGUUGGGCCUUGAACUUGGACUAGGGUGUCCGACUCUAUGUUUUUAGCUUUGUUGUCUAAUUACAAUAAGUUUCCUUGUAUUAACCUAGUUUUCUAGCAAUGGAGAAUCCCAACUACCUGUACAUAUUUGAAUGUAUAAUGAGUAGGUCUAUUUCUAUGUACCAUUAUGGGUAUUACUACUAUUUUCUUGUUUGUCUAUAAAUGGCAGCAAAAGGGUAUGUAUUUUGACUUGUGAUGAAUAUAUUAUUUCGCCACA